UAUUAUUUCAGUUACUGAAGAGAGUAACUGAAUCAGAGAAAAUUUAAAUUAUUUGUCCAAGAUCACACUGUCAAAAUUAAAAUUUGACCUAAGAUAGUGUGAUCUUAAAAUUCUAAGGUAUUUCCCUUUAUCUUACUCCACAAUGAUAACAUCUUCCUUCCUGUUUCACAGGUUGUCUCAGGUUCAUGUGGGAAAUAGUAUAUUGGAUAUUAUUGUUAAUUUUUAGGAUGAAAACCUGGUUAAUAUAAAUGUAGAUGUCAACAAGCACAAUCUACAAAAAGGAGAGAAAAGGAAAAGAAAUAACCUUCUGGUGGUCCUCAAGGGGGAUGGAGCUUUACAUUUUUCUGUUCUUGGACUGACUUCUUGACCGACAUCCCAUGAAAUUCAAUUGCAUACUGCCACAAUCCAAACCAAAUAGAAAUGUGCUAUUUGAGAAUUCAAUUGCAGAAGACCAAAGGCAGAAGAACAAAUAUCAGUUUGAAUACUAUUGGAAGAUCCAGGUCAGGAUGAUGGAGUCAGCUGAGGGUGGAAGCUAAGGAAGUGAACAGAAUCUGGAUGUAUUCUGAAGAGAGUGACAACUGAAUUUCCUGAAGGAUUGGGUGUGCCCUGCAAGAGGAAAGAUGGUGACAAGAAUGCAGAUGCCACUUGAUGAAACUGGAGAAAGGGGAAAUUGCUUGAGGAGAUCAGGAGUUGGGACAUGUUAAGUUUGAGACAUUUAUUUAGCACGUACAUGGACAUGUCAAAUGGCUGUUGGAUGUAUGAGUCUGGUGUCCAGGAGACAAGUCUGGGCUGGAGGCAUAAAUUUGGGAGUAGUUGGCAGUAAGGUGGCAUUUAAAGCCAUGAAACUAAUGAGCUCACCAACGAGUGACUGUGGAUAGCAAAAUUGUGUAGUGGGUAAAAUCACCUACUGCCGGAAGCCAGUGUGAGGAAUCCCGCCCGUGACAAGGUCAUGAGGAAGGAAGCUGACAUAUGCAAGGCGUGCUCAGACUUCAGGGACCCCUCUGGAAAUUCCUAAGCAUGUACCCCAACAAAAAUCUGCUGGCUUUUGUGCUCUGCUUUUCCACUCUUCUGACAUUUUCUGGAAAAAGUCAAUUCAGGGCUUUAGUCUUCUGCAUUUGAA
ensembl:lncRNA